AGCGAACGCUGGCGGCAGGCCUAACACAUGCAAGUCGAACGGACCCUUCGGGGUUAGUGGCGGACGGGUGAGUAACACGUGGGAACGUGCCUUUAGGUUCGGAAUAGCUCCUGGAAACGGGUGGUAAUGCCGCAUGUGCCCUUCGGGGGAAAGAUUUAUCGCCUUUAGAGCGGCCCGCGUCUGAUUAGCUAGUUGGUGAGGUAACGGCUCACCAAGGCGACGAUCAGUAGCUGGUCUGAGAGGAUGACCAGCCACACUGGGACUGAGACACGGCCCAGACUCCUACGGGAGGCAGCAGUGGGGAAUCUUGCGCAAUGGGCGAAAGCCUGACGCAGCCAUGCCGCGUGAAUGAUGAAGGUCUUAGGAUUGUAAAAUUCUUUCACCGGGGACGAUAAUGACGGUACCCGGAGAAGAAGCCCCGGCUAACUUCGUG
rnacentral:rRNA from 1 species